AAGCCAGUCUGUUAAUCUGCUUAACUAAAUGUGUUUGUACAGAAAUUUAGAAAAAGCUUGCAAUAGUAAUGCCAUGAUAUGAGUCUUAAGGACAAUCACAGUCAUUAAAGUCCCUGAAAUGGCUACCACA
rnacentral:snoRNA from 1 species